rnacentral:rRNA from 1 species
CAGUCUGCAACUCGACUGCGUGAAGUCGGAAUCGCUAGUAAUCGCGGAUCAGCAUGCCGCGGUGAAUACGUUCCCGGGCCUUGUACACACCGCCCGUCACACCAUGAGAGUCGGGAACACCCGAAGCCCGUAGCUUAACUUUAACGAGGGGGCGCGGUCGAAGGUGGGUUCGAUAAUUGGGGUGAAGUCGUAACAAGGUACC